UUAUGGCCAUAUCACUUUGAAACACUGAUUCUCAUAUGAUCACUGAUGUUAAGCAAUGUUGAGCAGGAUCAGUAAAUAGAUGGGUGACCACUAGGGAAUAUCAGGUACUGU